AUGGCGACGACCCUGGUGAGACGUGUGGAGUCGUGGGUGCGCGACCAGGGGGCGCGGCUGCCACCCUGGGCGCCACCUAUCGCCGUGCCGCGGUGGCCCUGGCCCCCGCCGUGGGCGCCCGCGUGGCCGGGCGACCGCCGGCGCCAGAGGGAGCGCAUGUUCCGCGAGGAGUUUGAGCGCCGCCGCAUCCAGCUUCGCGAGCUCUGCCGCGCCGUUCGCGUCGACACCAUCGCCGAGCUGCAGGAGCUGCUCUGCGCCAUGGUCCUCGCCGAGUGCGUCUACAAGAGGCCUGUUUCUGAGAUGAUGAGAUAUAUCAAUAAGUUCAAAUCUGAUUUUGGUGGAAACAUUAUUUCACUUGAGCGUGUUCAGCCAUCCUUGGACCAUGUACCACAUCGAUAUCUUUUAGCGGAGGCUGGUGACACUCUAUUUGCUACAUUUAUCGGCACAAACCAAUACAAAGAUUUUAUUGCUGAUGUGAAUAUACUCCAAGGAACCAUAUUUCACGAGGAUACAGCUCAGGAUUUAGCUGAUGCUGUUGACUCUGAGCAGAACAGUGACCAAUUUGGUGAAGAAAACAUUGGGGUAUCCUGUCGAGAAAAACCAAAACAGUUCGGGAAAUCAAAACCUGCUGCACACAGAGGUUUUUUAGCUCGUGCUAAGGGAAUCCCAGCACUGGAGCUAUACAAACUUGCACAGAAAAAGAACAGAAAACUUGUUCUUUGUGGUCAUUCGCUUGGCGGAGCGGUAGCUGCUUUGGCUACUCUUGCUAUAUUAAGAGUACUAUCCUCGUCGUCUCCAACUAAAGAGGCUAACAGGCUUCAGGUGAAGUGUAUCACGUUUUCUCAGCCACCUGUUGGGAAUGCUGCAUUAAGAGAUUAUGUUCAUCGAAGAGGAUGGCAAUACUACUUCAAAUCGUACUGUAUUCCAGAGGAUGUGGUGCCCCGUAUUCUGUCACCUGCGUACUUUCAUCACUACAAUGCCCAAACAACCGAAGCAUCUUUUGCAAAUAGAGUGGAUGUAAGAUCAGAAGAAAAUAAGAAAAUAAGCACUGAAGGUGCCGUGGAUAACAAUAGGGAACAACUUGUUCUUGGUGUUGGCCCUGUUCAAAAGUCACUCUGGAGACUUUCAAAGCUUGUUCCCGUUGAAGGAGUGCGGAAGAGUUUAAGUGUACUUCAAAAACAAGCAAAUAUUUUUGAAAAGGCAUCCACACAGUUGGAUAGUUAUUUGCAAGCGAAGGUUGAUGAAUCGGAAGAAGAACCGUGGUCUCUUGAAAUUCAGGAAGGUUCAGAAGGGAUUGCUCUUACCCCUUUAUCUGACAAUCAUGGAGGGACCACUGAAGAACACAAUAGGACUGAAAAAAUUAAUUCAUCUAAAGUUGGAUGUUCCAAGCGGUGGAGUAGAGUGCCUUCUUUGCCUUCAUAUAUACCAUUUGGUGAGCUUUACCUGUUGGGAGAUUCAUCAGUUACUACACUUUCAGAUUCAGAAUACUCGAAGAUGACGUCGGUGCAGUCUGUUAUAAUGGAGUUAAGAGAGCGUCUUCAGUCACACUCGAUGAAAUCCUACAGAGCCCGCUUCCAAAAAAUGUAUCAUGUGUGCAUGUGUGCAAAUGCCCCCCUUUUUACGGGCAUCGAGCAACUACAACAAUUUUCGCAUCUACAACAGCUACUUGGUCUGACAGCUACUGAUUCUGUUGAACUUGGUCACAUUGUGGAGCCUCCUGCCAUUAGAACUGCGACUUCUAUUCUUCCUCUUGGAUGGACUGGCCUUCCUGGUGGCAAAAGUGCUGAACCGCUGAAAGUAGAUAUAAUUGGACACGGUCUGCAUAUGUGCACUCUUUUCCAGGCUCAGAUAAAUGGAAGCUGGUAUUCAACGGCCGUUGAAACCCUACCAUCAACGACAUCAUUUUCAUCGGAUCAGGAGGUGCAACCUACAUUGCAAAAAAUGCGGAUUUUAGUUGGACGUCCACUAAAGCAGCCUCCAAAUUACACUAGUGAGGACUUUAUGGUUCCUGUGGUCACAGGUGCUAUGAAUCCAGAUUAUGGAGUUGAGCCCUUUGAAGAUAAAGGUUGUUGCAAGGGUUUGAAUGAAGUUAUUAUAUAUGGUACAAGUGAUUUUGUAACAAUAUGUAAGGAUGUCUAUGUUAGGACCCGGAGAGUGCGAUUGCUUGGACUAGAGGGCGCGGGUAAAACUUCCUUAAUAAAAGCAAUGUUAGGGCAACUUAAAGAAAGAAACAAUGCAGUCCUUGAGUGCAUACAUGUAGACUUGCAUGGCAAGGCAGUAUCAAAUGGAUUGUGCUACUUAGAUUCGGCAACAGUGAAGUUGCAGGACCUACCUUUAGAAGUUAGGCGCUUCAAAGAAGAACUGCAGUUAGGAAUGCAUGAUCUCAGCAGGAAGACUGACCUAAUUAUUGUUGUGCAUAACCUAGCACAUCAUAUUCCACAGUAUUACCAGUCCAACUCUUCUGAACCUCAGCCAGCUCUUUCACUUCUUUUGGAUGAAGCCAAGGUUCUUUGUGUUCCCUGGAUUCUUGCAAUAACCAACAAAUUUGGUGUCAGCGCGCAUGAACAGAACACAUUAAUCAGUUCAGCUAUGGAAGCAUAUAAAGCUUCUCCUGAUAACACCAAGGUUGUUAACUCUUCUCCAUUUCUAAUGCCAAGUGCUAAAAAUAGUCUGCAUCCCAUCAGUUCUACCAGUGGCGAUUUGGAGGAGGAUUCUUUCGGCAGAGCCGCUUUUCACCCAGUAAACUUUGCGUUGUCACCAUUUCAUAGGAAGGACAUUGUUAUGCAUGUGGAGGGUGUUGCUGCCCUUCAACAGCAUCUACAUCAAGUGAUUGUGAGUAAUGAAGAACCAGCUUUUGAGGAGCUUGCUCAUGAGAAAUUGUCCCUAGAGCUUGCAAGAGAGAAGGCGGUGUCUCGUCAAGCAAAGCAGAACCCACGAAAAAGAGAUGGAUCUGUCACAGCUGCUGCAGUAGGUGCAUCACUUGGUGCAGGCCUGGGGAUUGUAAUGGCUGUAAUAAUGGGAGCUGCAUCAGCCCUGCGGAAGCCGUGA
rnacentral:rRNA from 1 species